CCUUAGAGUUUGAUCCUGGCUCAGGAUGAACGCUGGCGGCGUGCUUAACACAUGCAAGUCGAACGGAGUUAUUUUUUAAGCUUGCUUUUAAAAUAACUUAGUGGCGGACGGAUGAGUAACGCGUGGGUAACCUGCCGUAUACAGGGGGAUAACACUUAGAAACAGGUGCUAAUACCGCAUAAGCGCACAGGACCGCAUGGUCCGGUGUGAAAAACUCCGGUGGUAUACGAUGGACCCGCGUCUGAUUAGAUAGUUGGUGAGGUAACGGCCCACCAAGUCAACGAUCAGUAGCCGGCCUGAGAGGGUGAACGGCCACAUUGGGACUGAGAUACGGCCCAGACUCCUACGGGAGGCAGCAGUCGGGAAUAUUGCGCAAUGGAGGAAACUCUGACGCAGUGACGCCGCGUAUAGGAAGAAGGUUUUCGGAUUGUAAACUAUUGUCGUUAGGGAAGAUACAAGACAGUACCUAAGGAGGAAGCUCCGGCUAACUACGUGCCAGCAGCCGCGGUAAUACGUAGGGAGCAAGCGUUAUCCGGAUUUAUUGGGUGUAAAGGGUGCGUAGACGGAAAAUUAAGUUAGUUGUGAAAUCCCUCGGCUUAACUGAGGAACUGCAACUAAAACUGGUUUUCUUGAGUGCGGGAGAGGAAAGUGGAAUUCCUAGUGUAGCGGUGAAAUGCGUAGAUAUUAGGAGGAACACCAGUGGCGAAGGCGACUUUCUGGACCGUAACUGACGUUGAGGCACGAAAGUGUGGGGAGCAAACAGGAUUAGAUACCCUGGUAGUCCACACCGUAAACGAUGGAUACUAGGUGUAGGGUGUAUUAAGCAUUCUGUGCCGUCGCAAACGCAAUAAGUAUCCCACCUGGGGAGUACGGCCGCAAGGUUGAAACUCAAAGGAAUUGACGGGGGCCCGCACAAGCAGUGGAGUAUGUGGUUUAAUUCGAAGCAACGCGAAGAACCUUACCAGGGCUUGACAUAUGCAGGAAUAUGUUAGAGAUAGCAUAGCUCUUCGGAGUCUGCAUACAGGUGGUGCAUGGUUGUCGUCAGCUCGUGUCGUGAGAUGUUGGGUUAAGUCCCGCAACGAGCGCAACCCCUGUGAUUAGUUGCCAACACGUAAAGGUGGGAACUCUAAUCAGACUGCCGGUGAUAAAUCGGAGGAAGGUGGGGACGACGUCAAAUCAUCAUGCCCUUUAUGUCCUGGGCUACACACGUACUACAAUGGCCGCUACAGAGGGAAGCUAAGUAGUGAUAUGGAGCAAGACCCUAAAAACGGUCUCAGUUCGGAUUGAAGGCUGAAAUUCGCCUUCAUGAAGCUGGAAUUGCUAGUAAUGGCAGGUCAGCAUACUGCCGUGAAUACGUUCCCGGGCCUUGUACACACCGCCCGUCA
rnacentral:rRNA from 1 species